rnacentral:rRNA from 1 species
CUAAGGGAUAACCUGCCGAAAGGCAGACUAAUACCUUAUGGUCUUCACUGACGGCAUCAGAUGUGAAGUAAAGAUUUAUCGGUUAUGGAUGGGGAUGCGUCUGAUUAGCUUGUUGGCGGGGUAACGGCCCACCAAGGCAACGAUCAGUAGGGGUUCUGAGAGGAAGGUCCCCCACAUUGGAACUGAGACACGGUCCAAACUCCUACGGGAGGCAGCAGUGAGGAAUAUUGGUCAAUGGGCGAGAGCCUGAACCAGCCAAGUAGCGUGCAGGAUGACGGCCCUAUGGGUUGUAAACUGCUUUUGUAUGGGGAUAAAGUCAGUCACGUGUGAUUGUUUGCAGGUACCAUACGAAUAAGGACCGGCUAAUUCCGUGCCAGCAGCCGCGGUAAUACGGAAGGUCCGGGCGUUAUCCGGAUUUAUUGGGUUUAAAGGGAGCGUAGGCUGGAGAUUAAGUGUGUUGUGAAAUGUAGACGCUCAACGUCUGACUUGCAGCGCAUACUGGUUUCCUUGAGUACGCACAACGUUGGCGGAAUUCGUCGUGUAGCGGUGAAAUGCUUAGAUAUGACGAAGAACUCCGAUUGCGAAGGCAGCUGACGGGAGCGCAACUGACGCUGAAGCUCGAAGGUGCGGGUAUCGAACAGGAUUAGAU